UACGUAGGGGGCAAGCGUUGUCCGGAAUCAUUGGGCGUAAAGCGCGCGUAGGCGGCCCGGUAAGUCCGUUGUGAAAGUCAAAGGCUCAACCUUUGAAUGCCGACGGAUACUGCCGGGCUAGAGUACGGAAGAGGCGAGUGGAAUUCCUGGUGUAGCGGUGGAAUGCGCAGAUAUCAGGAGGAACACCUAUAGCGAAGGCAGCUCGCUGGGACGUUACUGACGCUGAGGCGCGAAAGCCAGGGGAGCAAACGGG
rnacentral:rRNA from 1 species